rnacentral:rRNA from 1 species
UGGGACGAGAAGACCCUAUAGAAUUUAAUAUAAUUUUUAAAUUUAUUUGUGGAAAUAAAUUUUAUUUUAAUAUUUAUAUUUUAUUGGGAGGAUAAUUAAAUAAAAUAAACUUUAAUUUUGAGAUAGAUUUAACAUUAAUUAAUGAAAUUUUAUUGAGGACUGGUUAUUAAAUUAAAAAAAUUUUUUUUUUUGUAAUAAUUAUUAAAAGAAUUAAUUACCUUAGGGAUAACAGCGUAAUAUUUUUAAAAAGAUCAUAUUAAUAAAAAUGAUUGCGACCUCG